rfam:Oryza brachyantha chromosome 10, whole genome shotgun sequence.
AAUAACCUCAUUUUUCGUUUUUCCGUGUCUAACGUUUGACCAUUCGUCUUAUUUAAAAAAUUUGUACAAAAACUUAAAAAAAUUAGUCACGUAUAAAGUACUAUUCAUAUUUUAUCAUCAAGUAACAAUAAAAAUAUUAUUCGCCAAAAAAUUUUAAAUAAGACGAAUGAUCUAAUGUUGGACACAGAAAAACGAAAAAUGAGGUUAUU